rnacentral:tRNA from 1 species
GGGGCUGUGGUGUAAUGGUAACACGCUUAGGCUUGACACCCAAGAAAUGCCGGUUCAAAUCCGGUCAGCUCCACCA